GCAGCCGUCCCUGAGGAGCAGUGGGGACAGCUGCGUGCCGGGGCGUUAUCCCGGUGUCCCGGCCAGCCUAUUUUCCAGGCGAGGAAAUAUUUAACCGCGGCGUCAGCGGGCAGGGCAGGCAGCUGCGGCCAUGGAGAGAAGCGGGCAGCACCCGCUCCCUGCUGUCCCCCCGGGCCAGCCCCAGGGUGACCAUCUCCAGCUCCUGCUGCGCCGCAGCCGCGAGGCCAAAAGCUGCGCCUAUUGCCCCUAUAGCCGCUUCCCGGUGGGAGCUGCGCUGCUCACCGCCGGAGGGGAGAUCUUCUCGGGGUGCAACGUGGAGAACGCCUGCUACAGCCUGGGGAUGUGUGCCGAGCGCGGUGCCAUCCAAAAAGCCAUCUCUGAGGGGCACACCAGCUUCAAGGCCAUGGCCAUCGCCAGUGACAUGGGGGACGACUUCAUCACACCCUGUGGCGCCUGCAGACAAGUGAUGAGAGAGUUUGGCACAGACUGGGAUGUCUACCUGACCAAAGGAGAUGGCACCUACAUUGUCAAGAAGCUGGAGGAGCUGCUGCCUACCUCCUUUGGUCCUGAGGACCUGAAGAAGGUCUGAGCAGUGUGGCCACCACCAGCCUUUGCCCUUAGGCACAGGGGACAAUGGUUUUCCCUGAUUUUCUCAGCCUGCUCCAGCUCCACCUUGCCCCGAGGAAAUGGCAAAAUCAAAUCAUAGAAAUUCCCUGUUAUUAGUAAAAAAUGCGUCCAGACAUCCCUGUAGGCAAGGGAGGACAUGGCUUUGGUGCAGAACUCAAACAGGCUUUGGUAGAGAAACCACUCCUGAAUAAUGCAAAAUCAUUGCUUGGGAAAGUGCUGGGUCCUUCAGCUGCAAAAAGAAGUGAAAGCAAGAGGGAAAAGGUCCAUCAACCCCAGCAGUAAUUAGUGACCCAAUCCAGAUUACAUGGAUUGCAGGAUGGUUAUUGCACUGACCAUGUCCUUUGCUCCUUUCUUUCCAGCUUGUUUUCCUUGCUUUUAUUCUGUUUGGGGUGAAGAAGAGGACAAGUUUUUGGGGUCUUCUGGAGGGUUUUGUGCCUCCAGGAUAAUGCCAUUUCUUGAUUGAAUAUUGAUUUGUAAUAGAAUGAUAAAUGAAUUCAUUACAUUUCCCAACCAGAGCUGGGUUGAGCAUUUCUGCCAUGGCCAAGUGAA